rnacentral:rRNA from 1 species
GAUCAUGGCUCAGGAUGAACGCUAGCGACAGGCUAACACAUGCAAGUCGAGGGGCAGCAUAAAAGUAGCAAUACUUGGUGGCGACCGGCGCACGGGUGAGUAACGCGUAUGCAACCUACCUAUCAGAGGGGAAUAACCCGGCGAAAGUCGGACUAAUACCGCAUAAAACAGGGGCACCGCAUGGUGAUAUUUGUUAAAGAAAUUCGCUGAUAGAUGGGCAUGCGUUCCAUUAGGUAGUUGGUGAGGUAACGGCUCACCAAGCCGACGAUGGAUAGGGGAACUGAGAGGUUGGUCCCCCACACUGGCACUGAGACACGGACCAGACUCCUACGGGAGGCAGCAGUGAGGAAUAUUGGUCAAUGGGCGAGAGCCUGAACCAGCCAAGUCGCGUGAAGGAAGAAGGAUCUAUGGUUCGUAAACUUCUUUUGCAGGGGAAUAAAGUGCAGGACGUGUCCUGUUUUGUAUGUACCCUGAGAAUAAGGAUCGGCUAACUCCGUGCCAGCAGCCGC